CUACGGGUGGCUGCAGUGGGGCAUAUUGCACAAUGGGCGCAAGCCUGAUGCAGCCAUGCCGCGUGUGUGAAGAAGGCCUUCGGGUUGUAAAGCACUUUCAGCGGGGAGGAAGGCGUUAAGGUUAAUAACCUUGGCGAUUGACGUUACCCGCAGAAGAAGCACCGGCUAACUCCGUGCCAGCAGCCGCGGUAAUACGGAGGGUGCAAGCGUUAAUCGGAAUUACUGGGCGUAAAGCGCACGCAGGCGGUCUGUCAAGUCGGAUGUGAAAUCCCCGGGCUCAACCUGGGAACUGCAUUCGAAACUGGCAGGCUAGAGUCUUGUAGAGGGGGGUAGAAUUCCAGGUGUAGCGGUGAAAUGCGUAGAGAUCUGGAGGAAUACCGGUGGCGAAGGCGGCCCCCUGGACAAAGACUGACGCUCAGGUGCGAAAGCGUGGGGAGCAAACAGGAUUAGAUACCCCGGUAGUC
rnacentral:rRNA from 1 species